rnacentral:rRNA from 1 species
GAUGAACGCUGGCGGCGUGCCUAAUACAUGCAAGUCGAGCGAAUGGAUUAAGAGCUUGCUCUUAUGAAGUUAGCGGCGGACGGGUGAGUAACACGUGGGUAACCUGCCCAUAAGACUGGGAUAACUCCGGGAAACCGGGGCUAAUACCGGAUAACAUUUUGAACCGCAUGGCUCGAAAUUGAAAGGCGGCUUCGGCUGUCACUUAGGGAUGGACCCGCGUCGCAGUAGCUAGUUGGUGAGGUAACGGCUCACCAAGGCAACGAUGCGUAGCCGACCUGAGAGGGUGAUCGGCCACACUGGGACUGAGACACGGCCCAGACUCCUACGGGAGGCAGCAGUAGGGAAUCUUCCGCAAUGGACGAAAGUCUGACGGAGCAACGCCGCGUGAGUGAUGAAGGCUUUCGGGUCGUAAAACUCUGUUGUUAGGGAAGAACAAGUGCUAGUUGAAUAAGCUGGCACCUUGACGGUACCUAACCAGAAAGCCACGGCUAACUACGUGCCAGCAGCCGCAGUAA